UGUGUUUUGAAGUGUGAAAUGCAAAGUAAUUGUGAUAAAGUCAAGAUAAAGUUCACUUUUAAACUGAACUAAAUAAGGUAUCUGAGAGACAACAAUGGUUAAAUGCAAUACAAUGUACAGGUUUUACUAGCGAAAUGAAAAUUUUCCUGUCCUGUCUGCUGUAAUCAUUUUAUAUCUGGAAAACCAGCCGACUUAAUCGAUAAUAACAAUCUCCAGAUUGGGUUCCUUCAAUAAAUAUGGUCUAUAAACACAAUGAAAUAAGUUCCCCAAAAUCUAAAAUGGAGUGGUAUCAAAGGCGAAUUAAAGGGAAAAAUAUUCAUAUUGAAAUUAUUUAUAAGGCACUGGACUGUCUUAAAUUCUACAAUAAUACUAGAAUCAGCUGAGAGAAGUGGUCUACAAAAAACCAGGAAGGAAACGGAAUGUGGCUACGAAAGGCAAAAGAAAGGUUUACAAAGCAAAUGUGACACAUUUUUUUGAAAUAUUUAGGAAUAUCAGUAAAUUGCAUUAAAAAAAUGUAUGAAAAGAUUUUGUUCAAUAAAAAUGUUUAUAUUUA